UAUUAUUUUGACCAUAGGUAUACUUGUACAUAUGAAGUUAAGUGUCAAUUCGAAAUUCUGAGUAUGCUGUUUUUGUCUACUCGACUAGGUUCACGACUUGUCCAAACCUUAAAAAAAAUUUAGGAAAAUGAAA